CCUGGGAUUACGCAGCACAUGGACUAUAUCAGGGACCAAAACAGCCAAACAUCCAAGUCUGCAUUAUGGACAGAAACCAGAGAGAGCACGAGGAGAGGCUGGUGGAGGUCAGUGUGGAGAUGAGACCGAGUCUGGAAGCUUCUGCACCAGUGAGGGCGGCAGAAGGGACGAGGGAUGCCCGGGGAGGUUCGUGCAGCUGCUGCUUCAGGUGCUCCGUGGUUGUGGCCAUAGUGAUGGGGCUGAUGGUCGUGGCUCUGGUGCUGGCCUUCAUCGCUCAUCAUGUCCUCCUCAGACCACCAUGCAGCCAGAGCUACGCACGUGAUGCUACAGCGCUGACUCCAGAUGCCAAACUUAUUCUAACCUGCAAAGUGAAAAACGGUGAUAAAGAGGGACGACAUGACAUCUUCACGACAGAAAAAGCCGGAAUCUUCUUCAUCUUCGGAUGGGUGAAGGUGCCCGACGUCACCAACCAGGAAAUCAUUCUCAAACAAAUGAGGAACGGCACCAGCAUAAGCAUCCAAAAGAAGAGGAUUGAAGAUCACAAGGUCUUCUUCUUCGACAAGGUCACGAUGUACGCUAACACCUGUGUAAGCCUAUACUUCACAUUUAACCACAUAGACAGUUUAUUCCAUGUCUAUGAACUACAAUUAAGGAAUCAGUCAAAGCUGUAGAUUCAAAUAUUGUGCAGUUUAUUUAAAUUUCCGGUUCCAAGGGAGAACAGAUGAUUUGAUGAACGAAGGGUGAACAGUUUCAUUGUUGCCUUGUGUUUGUCGGGCCCCGAGAGGGAGUGGCCUCACACAAUAGGGAGGAAUUCACUCUCCUGUCAGAGGUGAGCUCAGCAGCAAAACAAAGCUGCACUCGUCACAG
rnacentral:lncRNA from 1 species